UACGUAGGGUGCAAGCGUUUAAUCGGAAUUACUGGGCGUAAAGCGUGCGCAGGCGGUUUUUGUAAGUCAGAUGUGAAAUCCCCGGGCUUAACCUGGGAACUGCGUCUGAUACUGGAGGGCUUGAGUGCGGGAGAGGGAUGUGGAAUUCCAGGUGUAGCGGUGAAAUGCGUAGAUAUCUGGAGGAACACCGGUGGCGAAGGCGGAUCGUCUGGGCCCUACCUGACGCCUGAGGCGCGAAAGCUAGGGGAGCAAACAGG
rnacentral:rRNA from 1 species